rnacentral:lncRNA from 1 species
GAGGAGUACAGUUUUGGCAGGAGCCCAGCCAGGGAGAGACCCAUCUCCACAGCAAGCUGGACAUGCUGGGCAUUUGUGGAAUUCAGAGAGGGAAAGCCCCUGGCCCAAGGUCACAAGGUGACCUUGUCCACUGGCCCUCUGCUCUCCCACUUGCUCUCAGCUCCAGAGCCCAGACUUCAUCCCAGCCAGCCCCUCCCUUGGACCAGAGUCCUAGAGGAGUGUGUGUGUUGUGUGAGCGGCUGAGUGGGAAUCUCCACCCACCAGGCCUGCCCUUGGAGGAGGGAGGUGGGGGGCAGGAUUGGCAACUCACUCCUGCCAGUUCCGGGAGCAGCUCCGGUCCAGGACAUCCGUGUAGACCAACUCGCUCAGCUCCCGCCGCCCCCCAGAGUUUGAGAGAGAGUCUCACGCCGUUCGUCGCCCAGGCUGGA